UACAGAGGGCUCAAGCGUUGUUCGGAUUCAUUGGGCGUAAAGGGUGCGUAGGCGGCGCCGUAAGUCAGGUGUGAAAUUUCGAGGCUUAACCUCGAAACUGCAUUUGAUACUGCGGUGCUUGAGGACUGGAGAGGAGAAUGGAAUUCCUGGUGUAGCGGUGAAAUGCGCAGAUAUCAGGAGGAACACCGGUGGCGAAGGCGGUUCUCUGGGCAUGUCCUGACGCUGAGGAGCGAAAGUGUGGGGAGCGAACAGG
rnacentral:rRNA from 1 species